GUUGCAUGAGUUGAAUAUGUUCACUUUCAAAGGACUUUAACUUACUUUGGUGAAGAAGUUCAGCUACUUUGCUUUCUGUGCCAAGCUGCAUUUGCCUAUACUGUUCUAAGAGUUGGUCAUACUUUCUUAAAGCAUCUCUUUCAGCAGUAACUGCUCUCUCUUUUUCAGCAACAGCAUUAUCUCUUGCUUCUCUCAAAUUUCUGUUUUCACGUUCAUACAUCUCUUUUGAAGCGCUUCGAAGUUGCUCAAUUUCUUGAUUAGUUUUCAAUCUUAUUUGUUCCAAUUCCUCCUGCAACCUCUUUUCAAAUUCUGUUUUAUAGUGGUCCCUGGAUGCAACAUAUUUUUC
rnacentral:lncRNA from 1 species